rnacentral:rRNA from 1 species
GACGAAGGGGGCUAGCGUUGUUCGGAAUUACUGGGCGUAAAGCGCGUGUAGGCGGCUUGGCACGUCGGUUGUGAAAGCCCGGGGCCCAACCCCGGAAUUGCAUCUGAAACUGCCUGGCUAGAGUCCCGGAGAGGAAGGCAGAAUUCCCGGUGUAGGGGUGAAAUCCGUAGAUAUCGGGAGGAAUACCAGCGGCGAAGGCGGCCUUCUGGACGGUGACUGACGCUGAGACGCGAAAGCGUGGGGAGCAAACAGG